GUGCCAGCAGCCGCGGUAAGACAGAGGUGGCAAGCGUUGUUCGGAAUCAUUGGGCUUAAAGGGUGCGUAGGCGGCCCGUCAAGUGUCUUGUGAAAUCCCUCGGCUCAACCGAGGAAUCGCUGGGCAUACUGUCGGGCUUGAGGCAGGAAGGGGCGAGUGGAACUCUUGGUGGAGCGGUGGAAUGCGUAGAUAUCAAGAGGAACGCCGGUGGUGUAGACGACUCGCUGGGCCUGUCCUGACGCUGAGGCACGAAAGCCAGGGGAGCAAACGGGAUUAGAAACCCCUGUAGUCC
rnacentral:rRNA from 1 species